rnacentral:rRNA from 1 species
GGGCCCGCACAAGCGGUGGAGCAUGUGGUUUAAUUCGAUGCAACGCGAAAAACCUUACCUACUCUUGACAUCCCUGAAACCCUCUGGAGACAGAGGGGUGCCUUCGGGAAUCAGGUGACAGGUGCUGCAUGGCUGUCGUCAGCUCGUGUCGUGAGAUGUUGGGUUAAGUCCCGUAACGAGCGCAACCCCUACCCUUUGUUGCCAGCACGUCAUGGUGGGAACUCUAAGGGAACUGCCGGUGAUAAACCGGAGGAAGGUGGGGACGAUGUCAAGUCAUCAUGGCCCUUACGAGUAGGGCUACACACGUGCUACAAUGGGCAGUACAAAGAGUGGCCAAGCCGCGAGGUGGAGCUAAUCUCAGAAAACUGUUCUCAGUCCGGAUUGGAGUCUGCAACUCGACUCCAUGAAGUUGGAAUCGCUAGUAA